rnacentral:rRNA from 1 species
CAGUAGCCGCGGUAACACGUAGGGUGCGAGCGUUAAUCGGAAUUACUGGGCGUAAAGCGUGCGCAGGCGGUUUGUUAAGACAGAUGUGAAAUCCCCGGGCUUAACCUGGGAACUGCAUUUGUGACUGGCCGGCUAGAGUAUGGCAGAGGGAGGUGGAAUUCCACGUGUAGCAGUGAAAUGCGUAGAUAUGUGGAGGAACACCGAUGGCGAAGGCAGCCUCCUGGGCCAAUACUGACGCUCAUGCACGAAAGCGUGGGGAGCAAACAGGAUUAGAUACCCCUGUAGUCCCUGUCUCUUAUAC